rnacentral:tRNA from 1 species
GGAGAGGUGGCUGAGUGGUCGAAAGCGGCGGUCUUGAAAACCGUUAGGGGUGCAAGCUCCUCGGGGGUUCGAAUCCCUCUCUCUCCGCCA